rnacentral:rRNA from 1 species
GACGAACGCUGGCGGCGUGCCUAACACAUGCAAGUCGAGCGGAGAUAUAUUGAAGAUUUAUCGGAUAUGUAUCUUAGCGGCGGACGGGUGAGUAACGCGUGGGCAACCUGCCUCAUACAGGGGGAUAACACAGGGAAACUUGUGCUAAUACCGCAUAACACGGAGCUAUCGCAUGGUAGAGCCGUCAAAGGAGCAAUCCGGUAUGAGAUGGGCCCGCGUCCGAUUAGCUAGUUGGUGGUGUAACGGACCACCAAGGCGACGAUCGGUAGCCGGACUGAGAGGUUGAACGGCCACAUUGGGACUGAGACACGGCCCAGACUCCUACGGGAGGCAGCAGUGGGGAAUAUUGCACAAUGGGGGAAACCCUGAUGCAGCAACGCCGCGUGAAGGAUGAAGGUUUUCGGAUUGUAAACUUCUUUGAUUGGGGACGAAUAAUGACGGUACCCAAAAAACAAGCCACGGCUAACUACGUG